CUCCCGAGUGCUUGCACUCAAUUGGAAAGAGGAGUGGCGGACGGGUGAGUAACACGUGGGUAACCUACCCACCAGAGGGGGAUAACACUUGGAAACAGGUGCUAAUACCGCAUAACAGUUUAUGCCGCAUGGCAUAAGAGUGAAAGGCGCUUUCGGGUGUCGCUGAUGGAUGGACCCGCGGUGCAUUAGCUAGUUGGUGAGGUAACGGCUCACCAAGGCCACGAUGCAUAGCCGACCUGAGAGGGUGAUCGGCCACACUGGGACUGAGACACGGCCCAGACUCCUACGGGAGGCAGCAGUAGGGAAUCUUCGGCAAUGGACGAAAGUCUGACCGAGCAACGCCGCGUGAGUGAAGAAGGUUUUCGGAUCGUAAAACUCUGUUGUUAGAGAAGGACAAGGACGUUAGUAACUGAACGUCCCCUGACGGUAUCUAACCAGAAAGCCACGGCUAACUACGUGCCAGCAGCCGCGGUAAUACGUAGGUGGCAAGCGUUGUCCGGAUUUAUUGGGCGUAAAGCGAGCGCAGGCGGUUUCUUAAGUCUGAUGUGAAAGCCCCCGGCUCAACCGGGGAGGGUCAUUGGAAACUGGGAGACUUGAGUGCAGAAGAGGAGAGUGGAAUUCCAUGUGUAGCGGUGAAAUGCGUAGAUAUAUGGAGGAACACCAGUGGCGAAGGCG
rnacentral:rRNA from 1 species